rnacentral:tRNA from 1 species
UCCCUGGAGGACUAGUGGUUAGGCCACAGUGUAUUCACCACUGCAGUCCGGGUUCGAUUCCCGGUCAGGGAA